CGUAGGUAACCUGCCUGGUAGCGGGGGGUAACUAUUGGAAACGAUAGCUAAUACCGCAUAACAUUGACUAUUGCAUGAUAGUCAAUUGAAAAGGUGCAAAUGCACCACUACCAGAUGGACCUGCGUUGUAUUAGCUAGUUGGUGGGGUAACGGCUCACCAAGGCGACGAUACAUAGCCGACCUGAGAGGGUGAUCGGCCACACUGGGACUGAGACACGGCCCAG
rnacentral:rRNA from 1 species